rnacentral:lncRNA from 1 species
UCACAUCUCAUCCAGUUAAUGCGAUAAAAGACACUAAGAUCACCAACAAGUUCAUGACGUGGCUUUCAUUGGAUCUUCUUAAAUAUCAUUUGAAGAGGUAUACAUCUUACAACUUAAUAGUGCUAACUUUUGUAAAUUAAGAUUAUGUAAAUUACAGUCUAAUAUGUAUAAUGAAUAAACAGGAAUAGUAAAGAAGAAUAUUAUUUGAAGGGAAAGGCAAAAAUAUCAGUUAUCAACUUUGAAAUUUUAUCUGUUGAAGAUAAGAAUUGGUUCUAUGUUAUGGGUACUCCUAGCCAGACGUGGUCAGAUGAGGUAAGUGAUGUAUUAUUAUGCUGAUUUGUAUAUUGAAAUAAAUAUUAGUUCUGUGUUAAAUAUGAAUAAUUGUAAUUGAUUAUAUUGUUAUAGUUGAAAAUGUAUAUUUGUAUAUACAUAUGAAGUAUGUUAUACGUUCACUGCUAUGUACAUGAUAUUUUCAUAUGUAAGGUUUGAUUUUUUUUAUUUGUUUGUUUAAUAUAAAGUAUGAAAUUUAUUUAUAAUGCAGCAAAUUGAUGUAUGCUUGUACUAUCUGUGGAAGAAGUCCAAGUAUGAUCCCAAUAUCUCAUAUAAGUUCAGCACUGUAGACUGCAAUUUCAUGAACAUUGUUAGAAGUGUGUUUAAUGUGUAUAAAUUGGAUGAUGCAACUCUUAAUGCUGGUGGAAAGAAAUAUCAUCUGAAUGAGUACGUAAGUGUAUUUCGCAUGCAUGCUACAGUGCCAUGACAUAUGGUUGAUCAUAUGUUCAUUCCUGUUCACAUAAAGGAAAAACAUCAUUGGGUUCUUGCAGUUAUAUCUUUCAAUCAUAGGUGCAUAUAUGUAUAUGAUUCUUUGUCAGUUGCUGGUCAUGAUGCGGCAGUGCUUACUGAAAUUGAAAAGUUAGAUAAGGUUAUACCUAUAUGUCUCAUUGAAUGUAAAUUCUACGAGAAUAAGGGUAUUGACAUCGACAAUCAUCCUAAUUACAAAUUGAAUGAUAAGAUGGAUCCAUUUGGUAUUUCAAUUAUGGAGAAUGUGCCUCAACAAUCAAGUGGCAGCUUGUAAGUAAUUAGUAUGCAUUUUACUUGUAUAUAUACAUAUGCAUUAAACUUUU